CUUUGCAGAGUGAAGUUUCAAUGAAAGUCAAGGGACGGCGUUAGUUGCAAACAAAUGGUCAUAUUGUGAAAACUAUCAGGACUAUGGCUUAGCCGUUGACAUGUUUAGUGGCAGCAGGGAUAGCUGAACAUUUUGAUAUAAGAUUUGUGUAGGUGGGCCUGAAAAUAAGGGAGUGGUGGCAGUUUAGAAAUCAUGUCCUGAUUUUUCAGCUUUUGCCAGCUCCCACUCUAGCUUUGCCAUUCAUUCCUAUGGGACAAA